AUGUCUGCUGUCUGCUUUAAGCUGCUGGUUGUGCUUUGCCUUUCAUGGAUGAUGAUGAUGACUGAAGCAGAGUCUGAUACUAUUGUUUGGAAAAAAAAAGGGCAGCACUUCACCAUCCAAUGCCGCAAUACCCAGGACCCUGACACCUUUGAAAUGGUGCUUAACAAAGGUGUCCUUAAGGAGGAGACGCUUUUCCACAGAAUGGUCUCUAAUGGAAAAGACUCUUUUAUUAAAGAGGGACUUCAGGUAGAUGGUGUUUUCCCCAAUAUCGACUUUUUCAUCCAUGAUCUGAAGGUGGAGGACACAGGAGCUUACUGGUGUGUGUACUCCAAACUUGACAAAAAAAGCGACCUCAUUAAAAAAAACAGUCAAGGGUCUGUGCUGCUGGUGGUAACAGAAACAGCAAAAGAUGCAAAACAAGAAUGUGAAGAAUCAAACGACGGCCUGAACCUGGUGGCUGUGGCCAUCUCUGUGACUGUCAUCCUCUUCAUCACUGUGUCCUUCUUUUUUUGGAUCAUCUAUAAGAGAAAGACCACAGUGAAACGGAGCACUGUUCACACCAGUGAUGUUUAUGAGGACAUGCGAGCGACAACUAGACGUGUGAACACCACAUCCACGGGCUAGCUGCAGACGCAACGCUAACCCUCCACACCACAAGUGUUGCAUGUGAUGCAACUCAGCAAAACGCAACAAAGUUUGCAAGAACAUUUUCUGCAGACUCGGUUUCUGCUUCUUUGCACGUUCAUCAAAGACAUUCAGGGCAACGCGUGUAAUGUUGUAAAUGCUAAAAUAAACAACAACUUUUUACAAUAUUUGGCA
rnacentral:lncRNA from 1 species